rnacentral:lncRNA from 1 species
CCGUCCUCCUCUGGGUACCAACUCUAUUGCGCAGCUCGCUGCCGUGCGUUUAACCCAGGCGAGGAGGAGGAGGAGAAAAUUUCCCAGACUCGGGCAGGCCCGCACCCCGCAUCCCGUCCUGUUUUGAGAGGAGGAGGGAAGAGAAAUAAACGUGGCAGCGCAUAGAAGGCCAGCGGAGAGACUGCUUUCCAGACACCUCCGGCCCACACAGCCGUUCACCCCCCGUCUUUUCAGUCCUGGAAAAGGAAUUCGGGUCUGUCUUCCCUUUGGGCUCUGUGCAACUGCAGCUACAGUGGAAAAAAGCAAACUACUCUUGAUCCCAGGAGGCCCUGCCUAAGCCUCAGCAGAACUUGUAAGCCUAAACUGAAGAGCCUCACCCGGAGGAGCAGGCAUCCCUUAACCUUAAGCAAGCCACUUCCACGCCCUGGAUCAG